GAUGAACGCUGGCGGCGUGCCUAAUACAUGCAAGUCGAGCGAACAGACGAGGCGCUUGCUCCUCUGACGUUAGCGGCGGACGGGUGAGUCACACGUGGAUAACCUCCCUAUCAGACUGGGAUAACUUCGGGAAACCGGCGCUAAUACCGGAUAAUAUAUUGAACCGCAUGGUUCAAUAGUGAAAGACGGUUUUGCUGUCACUUAUCGAUGGAUCCGCGCCGCAUUAGCUAGUUGGUAAGGUAACGGCUUACCAAGGCAACGAUGCGUAGCCGACCUGAGAGGGUGAUCGGCCACACUGGAACUGAGACACGGUCCAGACUCCUACGGGAGGCAGCAGUAGGGAAUCUUCCGCAAUGGGCGAAAGCCUGACGGAGCAACGCCGCGUGAGUGAUGAAGGUCUUCGGAUCGUAAAACUCUGUUAUUAGGGAAGAACAAAUGUGUAAGUAACUAUGCACGUCUUGACGGUACCUAAUCAGAAAGCCACGGCUAACUACGUG
rnacentral:rRNA from 1 species